rnacentral:rRNA from 1 species
GUGGGGAAUAUUGGACAAUGGGGGGAACCCUGAUCCAGCCAUGCCGCGUGUGUGAAGAAGGCCUUUUGGUUGUAAAGCACUUUAAGCGAGGAGGAGGCUACCGAGAUUAAUACUCUUGGAUAGUGGACGUUACUCGCAGAAUAAGCACCGGCUAACUCUGUGCCAGCAGCCGCGGUAAUACAGAGGGUGCAAGCGUUAAUCGGAUUUACUGGGCGUAAAGCGCGCGUAGGUGGCCAAUUAAGUCAAAUGUGAAAUCCCCGAGCUUAACUUGGGAAUUGCAGUCGAUACUGGUUGGCUAGAGUAUGGGAGAGGAUGGUAGAAUUCCAGGUGUAGCGGUGAAAUGCGUAGAGAUCUGGAGGAAUACCGAUGGCGAAGGCAGCCAUCUGGCCUAAUACUGACACUGAGGUGCGAAAGCAUGGGGAGCAAACAGGAUUAGAUACCCGUGUAGUCC